AGUGAACGCUGGCGGUAGGCCUAACACAUGCAAGUCGAACGGCAGCACAGUAAGAGCUUGCUCUUACGGGUGGCGAGUGGCGGACGGGUGAGGAAUACAUCGGAAUCUACUUUUUCGUGGGGGAUAACGUAGGGAAACUUACGCUAAUACCGCAUACGACCUACGGGUGAAAGCAGGGGAUCUUCGGACCUUGCGCGAUUGAAUGAGCCGAUGUCGGAUUAGCUAGUUGGCGGGGUAAAGGCCCACCAAGGCGACGAUCCGUAGCUGGUCUGAGAGGAUGAUCAGCCACACUGGAACUGAGACACGGUCCAGACUCCUACGGGAGGCAGCAGUGGGGAAUAUUGACAAUGGGCGCAAGCCUGAUCCAGCCAUACCGCGUGGGUGAAGAAGGCCUUCGGGUUGUAAAGCCCUUUUGUUGGGAAAGAAAAGCAGCAGGUUAAUACCCCGCUGUUCUGACGGUACCCAAAGAAUAAGCACCGGCUAACUUCGCG
rnacentral:rRNA from 1 species